rnacentral:rRNA from 1 species
UACGGGGGGGGUAAGCGUUGUUCGGAAUUACUGGGCGUAAAGGGCUCGUAGGCGGCCAACUAAGUCAUACGUGAAAUCCCUCAGCUUAACUGGGGAACUGCGUGUGAUACUGGAUGGCUUGGAUUUGGGAGAGGGAUGCGGAAUUCCAGGUGUAGCGGUGAAAUGCGUAGAUAUCGUAAGGAAGACCAGUGGCGAAGGCGGGUCUCGUGGACAGUUCCUGACGCUGAGGCACGAAGGUCAGGGGAGCAAACGGG